GCGGCAGGCCUAACACAUGCAAGUCGAGCGGUAACAGAGAGUAGCUUGCUACUUUGCUGACGAGCGGCGGACGGGUGAGUAAUGCUUGGGAACAUGCCUUGAGGUGGGGGACAACAGUUGGAAACGACUGCUAAUACCGCAUAAUGUCUACGGACCAAAGGGGGCUUCGGCUCUCGCCUUUAGAUUGGCCCAAGUGGGAUUAGCUAGUUGGUGAGGUAAUGGCUCACCAAGGCGACGAUCCCUAGCUGGUUUGAGAGGAUGAUCAGCCACACUGGGACUGAGACACGGCCCAGACUCCUCGGGAGGCAGCAGUGGGGAAUAUUGCACAAUGGGCGCAAGCCUGAUGCAGCCAUGCCGCGUGUGUGAAGAAGGCCUUCGGGUUGUAAAGCACUUUCAGUCAGGAGGAAAGGUUAGUAGUUAAUACCUGCUAGCUGUGACGUUACUGACAAAAGAAGCA
rnacentral:rRNA from 1 species